GACGUACUGCGCGAACGUUAUUCGGAAUUACUGGGCGUAAAGCGUGCGCAGGCGGUUUUGCAAGACAGAUGUGAAAUCCCCGGGCUUAACCUGGGAACUGCAUUUGUGACUGCAAGGCUAGAGUGUGUCAGAGGGAGGUGGAAUUCCACGUGUAGCAGUGAAAUGCGUAGAGAUGUGGAGGAACACCGAUGGCGAAGGCAGCCCCCUGGGUUAACACUGACGCUCAGGCACGAAAGCGUGGGGAGCAAACAGG
rnacentral:rRNA from 1 species